rnacentral:siRNA from 1 species
CACCUAAAACCGCACUGCAACAGU